UUGAAGAGUUUGAUCAUGGCUCAGAUUGAACGCUGGCGGCAGGCCUAACACAUGCAAGUCGAGCGGUAGCACAGAGAGCUUGCUCUCGGGUGACGAGCGGCGGACGGGUGAGUAAUGUCUGGGAAACUGCCUGAUGGAGGGGGAUAACUACUGGAAACGGUAGCUAAUACCGCAUAACGUCGCAAGACCAAAGUGGGGGACCUUCGGGCCUCAUGCCAUCAGAUGUGCCCAGAUGGGAUUAGCUAGUAGGUGGGGUAACGGCUCACCUAGGCGACGAUCCCUAGCUGGUCUGAGAGGAUGACCAGCCACACUGGAACUGAGACACGGUCCAGACUCCUACGGGAGGCAGCAGUGGGGAAUAUUGCACAAUGGGCGCAAGCCUGAUGCAGCCAUGCCGCGUGUAUGAAGAAGGCCUUCGGGUUGUAAAGUACUUUCAGCGGGGAGGAAGGCGAUAAGGUUAAUAACCUUGUCGAUUGACGUUACCCGCAGAAGAAGCACCGGCUAACUCCGUGCCAGCAGCCGCGGUAAUACGGAGGGUGCAAGCGUUAAUCGGAAUUACUGGGCGUAAAGCGCACGCAGGCGGUCUGUCAAGUCGGAUGUGAAAUCCCCGGGCUCAACCUGGGAACUGCAUUCGAAACUGGCAGGCUAGAGUCUUGUAGAGGGGGGUAGAAUUCCAGGUGUAGCGGUGAAAUGCGUAGAGAUCUGGAGGAAUACCGGUGGCGAAGGCGGCCCCCUGGACAAAGACUGACGCUCAGGUGCGAAAGCGUGGGGAGCAAACAGGAUUAGAUACCCUGGUAGUCCACGCCGUAAACGAUGUCGAUUUGGAGGUUGUGCCCUUGAGGCGUGGCUUCCGGAGCUAACGCGUUAAAUCGACCGCCUGGGGAGUACGGCCGCAAGGUUAAAACUCAAAUGAAUUGACGGGGGCCCGCACAAGCGGUGGAGCAUGUGGUUUAAUUCGAUGCAACGCGAAGAACCUUACCUGGUCUUGACAUCCACAGAACUUAGCAGAGAUGCUUUGGUGCCUUCGGGAACUGUGAGACAGGUGCUGCAUGGCUGUCGUCAGCUCGUGUUGUGAAAUGUUGGGUUAAGUCCCGCAACGAGCGCAACCCUUAUCCUUUGUUGCCAGCGGUCCGGCCGGGAACUCAAAGGAGACUGCCAGUGAUAAACUGGAGGAAGGUGGGGAUGACGUCAAGUCAUCAUGGCCCUUACGACCAGGGCUACACACGUGCUACAAUGGCAUAUACAAAGAGAAGCGACCUCGCGAGAGCAAGCGGACCUCAUAAAGUAUGUCGUAGUCCGGAUUGGAGUCUGCAACUCGACUCCAUGAAGUCGGAAUCGCUAGUAAUCGUAGAUCAGAAUGCUACGGUGAAUACGUUCCCGGGCCUUGUACACACCGCCCGUCACACCAUGGGAGUGGGUUGCAAAAGAAGUAGGUAGCUUAACCUUCGGGAGGGCGCUUACCACUUUGUGAUUCAUGACUGGGGUGAAGUCGUAACAAGGUAACCGUAGGGGAACCUGCGGUUGGAUCACCUCCUU
rnacentral:rRNA from 2 species